UGAGAUGAAAUGAAAUGACAUAAUGAAAUGAAAUAAUGAAAUGAGAUGAAAUAAAAUAAUGAAAUGAUGAAAUAAUGAAAUGAAAAUGAAAUGGAAAUGAUGAGAUGAGAAGAAAUGAUGAGAUGAAAUGAUGAAAUGAUGAGAUGAGAUAAAAUGAGAUGAAAUGAUGAGAUGAGAUGAAAUAUGAUGAGAUGAAAUGACAUAAUGAAUGAAAUGAUGAAAUGGAAUAAUGAAAUGGAAAUGAUGAGCUGAGAUGCAAUGAGUUGAAAUGAGAUGAAAUGAUGAAAUGAGAUGAAAUGAUGAGAUGAGAUGUGAUGAAAUGAUGACAUGAAAUGAUGACAUAAAAUGAGAUGAAAUGAGAUGUAAUGAUGGAAUGAGAUGAGAUGAAAUGAGAUGAAAUAGAUGAGAUAAAAUGAUGAUAUGAAAUGAUGAGAUGAAUGAUGAGAUGAGAUGAAUGAUGAAAUGAAAUGAUGAGAUGAGAUGAUGAAAUGAAAUGGUGAGAUGAAAUGAUGAGAUGAAAUGAAAUAGUGAAAUGAAAUUGAAAUAAAAUCGAAAUGAGAUGAAAUGAUGAGAUGAUGAAAUAAAAUGAUGAAAUGAUGAGAUGUGAUGAGAUGAAAUGAUGAGAUGAAAUGAUGAGAUGAGAUGACAUGAAAUAAUGAAAUGAAAUUGAAAUGAGAUAAGAUACGAGAUGAGAUGAAAUGAUGAGAUGAAAUGAUGAAAUGAUGAGAUAAGAUGAAAAGGGUUGAGAUGAUGAGAUGAAAUGAGAUGAAAAGAUGAAAUGAUGAGAUGAAAUGAAAUGAUGAGAUGAAAUGAGGUGAAAUGAAAUUAGAUGAAAUGUAAUGAGAUGAAAUGAAAUGACAUAAUGAAAUGAAAUAAUGAAAUGAGAUGAAAUAAAAUAAUGAAAUGAUGAAAUAAUGAAAUGAAAAUGAAAUGGAAAUGAGAUGAGAAGAAAUGAUGAGAUGAAAUGAUGAGAUAAAAUGAGAUGAAAUGAUGAGAUGAGAUGAAAUAUGAUGAGAUGAAAUGACAUAAUGAAUGAAAUGAUGAAAUGGAAUAAUGAAAUGGAAAUGAUGAGCUGAGAUGCAAUGAGUUGAAAUGAGAUGAAAUGAUGAAAUGAUGAGAUGAGAUGUGAUGAAAUGACAUGAAAUGAUGACAUAAAAUGAGAUGAAAUGAGAUGUAAUGAUGGAAUGAGAUGAGAUGAGAUGAAAUGAUAGAUGAGAUAAAAUGAUGAUAUGAAAUGAUGAGAUGAAUGAUGAGAUGAUGAGAUGAAUGAUGAAAUGAAAUGAUGAGAUGAUGAAAUGGUGAGAUGAAAUGAUGAGAUGAAAUAGUGAAAUUGAAAUAAAAUCGAAAUGAGAUGAAAUGAUGAGAUGAUGAAAUAAAAUGAUGAAAUGAUGAGAUGUGAUGAGAUGAAAUGAUGACAUGAAAUGAUGAGAUGAGAUGAGAUGACAUGAAAUAAUGAAAUGAAAUUGAAAUGAAAUAAGAUACGAGAUGAGAUGAAAUGAUGAGAUGAAAUGAUGAAAUGAUGAGAUAAGAUGAAAAGGGUUGAGAUGAUGAGAUGAAAUGAGAUGAAAAGAUGAAAUGAGAUGAAAUGAAAUGAUGAGAUGAAAUGAGGUGAAAUGAAAUUAGAGGAAAUGUAAUGAGAUGAAAUGAAAUGACAUGAAAUGAAAUAAUGAAAUGAGAUGAAAUAAAAUAAUGAAAUGAUGAAAUAAUGAAAUGAAAAUGAAAUGGAAAUGAUGAGAUGAGAAGAAAUGAUGAGAUGAAAUGAUGAAAUGAUGAGAUGAGAUAAAAUGAGAUGAAAUGAUGAGAUGAGAUGAAAUAUGAGAUGAAAUGACAUAAUGAAUGAAAUGAUGAAAUGGAAUAAUGAAAUGGAAAUGAUGAGCUGAGAUGCAAUGAGUUGAAAUGAGAUGAAAUGAUGAAAUGAUGAGAUGAAAUGAUGAGAUGAGAUGUGAUGAAAUGACAUGAAAUGAUGACAUAAAAUGAGAUGAAAUGAGAUGUAAUGAUGGAAUGAGAUGAGAUGGAAUGAGAUGAGAUGAAAUGAGAUGAAAUGAUAGAUGAGAUAAAAUGAUAUGAAAUGAUGAGAUGAAUGAUGAGAUGAUGAGAUGAAUGAUGAAAUGAAAUGAUGAGAUGAGAUGAUGAAAUGAAAUGGUGAGAUGAAAUGAUGAGAUGAAAUGAAAUAAUGAAAUGAGAUGAAAUGAUAGAUGAGAUAAAAUGAUGAUAUGAAAUGAGAUGAAUGAUGAGAUGAUGAGAUGAAUGAUGAAAUGAAAUGAUGAGAUGAGAUGAUGAAAUGAAAUGGUGAGAUGAAAUGAUGAGAUGAAAUGAAAUAGUGAAAUGAAAUUGAAAUAAAAUCGAGAUGAGAUGAAAUGAUGAGAUGAUGAAAUAAAAUGAUGAAAUGAUGAGGUGAUGAGAUGAAAUGAUGAGAUGAAAUGAUGAGAUGAGAUGAGAUGACAUGAAAUAAUGAAACGAAAUUGAAAUGAGAUAAGAUACGAGAUGAGAUGAAAUGAUGAGAUGAAAUGAAAUGAUGAGAUAAGAUGAAAAGAGUUGAUGAGAUGAUGAGAUGAAAUGAGAUGAAAAGAUGAAAUGAUGAGAUGAAAUGAAAUGAUGAGAUGAAAUGAGGUGAAAUGAAAUUAGAUGAAAUGUAAUGAGAUGAAAUGAAAUGACAAUGAAAUGAA
rnacentral:lncRNA from 1 species